UUUUUAAUCAAUUGAAAUCCCGGCUCACCUGGAAUGCUCUGAUACUGCCAGCUGAGUCUGUAGAGGGGGUAGAUUCCAGGUGUACGGUUAAAUGCGUAAGAUCUGGAGAAUACCGGUGGCGAAGGCGGCCCCCUGGACGAAGACUGACGCUCAGGUGCGAAAGCGUGGGGAGCAAACAGGAUUAGAUACCCUGGUAGUCCACGCCGUUAACGAUGUCGACUUGGAGGUUGUGCCCUUGAGGCGUGGCUUCCGGAGCUAACGCGUUAAGUCGACCGCCUGGGGAGUACGGCCGCAAGGUUAAAACUCAAAUGAAUUGACGGGGGCCCGCACAAGCGGUGGAGCAUGUGGUUUAAUUCGAUGCAACGCGAAGAACCUUACCUGGUCUUGACAUCCACGGAAGUUUUCAGAGAUGAGAAUGUGCCUUCGGGAACCGUGAGACAGGUGCUGCAUGGCUGUCGUCAGCUCGUGUUGUGAAAUGUUGGGUUAAGUCCCGCAACGAGCGCAACCCUUAUCCUUUGUUGCCAGCGGUCCGGCCGGGAACUCAAAGGAGACUGCCAGUGAUAAACUGGAGGAAGGUGGGGAUGACGUCAAGUCAUCAUGGCCCUUACGACCAGGGCUACACACGUGCUACAAUGGCGCAUACAAAGAGAAGCGACCUCGCGAGAGCAAGCGGACCUCAUAAAGUGCGUCGUAGUCCGGAUUGGAGUCUGCAACUCGACUCCAUGAAGUCGGAAUCGCUAGUAAUCGUGGAUCAGAAUGCCACGGUGAAUACGUUCCCGGGCCUUGUACACACCAUAUCGCAUACCACGAGUAUCCAUCGUUUACUGUGGGACUACCAGGGUAUCUAAUCCUGUUUGAUACCCACACUUCGAGCCUCAGCGUCAGUUGCGCCCCCGGCACCUGCCUUCGCGAUCGGAGUUCUUCGUGAUAUCUAAGCAUUUCACCGCUACACCACGAAUUCCAGCGCCGCUGUGCGCACUCAAGUAAAACAGUUUCAACUGCAGGUGCGACGUUGAGCGACGCAAUUUCACAGCUGACUUAUCCUACCGCCUACGCUCCCUUUAAACCCAAUAAAUCCGGAUAACGCCCGGACCUUCCGUAUUACCGCGGCUGCUGGCACGGAAUUAGCCGGUCCUUAUUCAUGCGAUACUUGCAAUAUGCCACACGUGGCACACUUUACCCUCGCAUAAAAGCAGUUUACAACCUGUAAGGCCGUCAUCCUGCACGCUACUUGGCUGGUUCAGUCUUGCGACCAUUGACCAAUAUUCCUCACUGCUGCCUCCCGUAGGAGUUUGGACCGUGUCUCAGUUCCAAUGUGGGGGACCUUCCUCUCAGAACCCCUACCCAUCGUAGGUUAGGUGGGCCGUUACCCCGCCUACUGCCUAAUGGGACGCAUCCUCAUCCUGUACCGAUAAAUCUUUGCUUUCUCUGUCAUGCAACAAAAAAAGAACAUCGGGCAUUAAUCCUACUUUCGCAGGGCUAUUCCCGUGUGCAGGGUAGAUUGGAUACGCGUUACGCACCCGUGCGCCGGUCGCCAUCACAGAAAGCAAGCUUCCUGCAUGCUGCCCCUCGACUUGCAUGUGUUAAGCCUGUAGGCUAGCG
rnacentral:rRNA from 1 species